rnacentral:rRNA from 1 species
UACGUAGGGGGCUAGCGUUGUCCGGAAUCAUUGGGCGUAAAGCGCGUGUAGGCGGUCCGGUAAGUCCGCUGUGAAAGUCGGGGGGCUCAACCCUCGAAUGCCGGUGGAUACUGUCGGGCUAGAGUGCGGAAGAGGCGAAGUGGAAUUCCUGGUGUAGCGGUGAAAUGCGCAGAUAUCAGGAGGAACACCAAUUGCGAAGGCAGCUCGCUGGGACGUAACUGACGCUGAGACGCGAAAGCGUGGGGAGCAAACAGG